rnacentral:rRNA from 1 species
UACGAAGGGGGAGCUAGCGUUGUCCGGAUUUAUUGGGCGUAAAGAGCGUGUAGGCGGCCAUGUAGGUCCGGUGUGAAAACUCGAGGCUUAACCUCGAGAUGUCAUCGAAAACCAUUUGGCUAGAGUCCGGAAAGAGGAGAGUGGAAUUCCUGGUGUAGCGGUGAAAUGCGCAGAUAUCAGGAAGAACACCAACGGCGAAGGCAGCUCGCUGGGACGGUACUGACGCUGAGACGCGAAAGCGUGGGGAGCAAACAGG